CGGCUGCCGAAUCACUAUCCCCCUGUCGAGUUUUCUGCGACAAAAGUCGGGAAGUAUUUGCUGCAUUAUGGGUUUCAUCAUUUUUUUCAUGAUUGGUAAAAUAAGCAAUAUGAAACUUAUAGUAAGCCUGAUAGUGAUAAGCAAUGAGAAAAUUCAUUUUUGGUCUGAUUUCGGGAGUCUCAGUCUGCAAUAUACAAAUGUACAUCUGCAUUUGCUUCUGAAUUAAUCUAGUAUCCUAAACAGCUGGUUUGCUUUAUAUCUGUCUGUCAG
rnacentral:lncRNA from 1 species